AGCUUUGCGCAGUGGCAGUAUCGUAGCCAAUGAGGUUUAUCCGAGGCGCGAUUAUUGCUAAUUAAAAAAUGUUAGGGGAAAAGGAGCUCAAAUUUUACACAAGGUAUUUCAGAAGCAACAUUUUCUGUU
rnacentral:snRNA from 1 species